rnacentral:tmRNA from 1 species
GGGGCUGCAUUGGUUUCGACGCGGGUUGGAAUCGUCCCAGGGCAUGCCGAGGUUCAGUCACCUCGUAAAACCGCUGAAAUCAAACUAACUGCAAACGACGAACGUUUCGCUCUCGCCGCUUGACGGCGAGCCUCGCAACAGCACGCUGAUGGGCUGGGCAAGGGUGAGGUAACUCAUCCCGGCUGCGGGGAGUCAUUACAUCGGCUGGCGCGGCGGCGGGUGCCUUGCUGCCGUGCGAGAUUCAAGGGCACUGGCCAGCUCGGCAGCGUGCUCCUGCGCGGCCGGAUUGGCGAGAUCCAAUAUAGGACGCUACGCAUGUAGAACUGGACGGGGAAGAUUUGCGGACGGGGGUUCAACUCCCCCCAGCUCCACCA